CCACUUGUAUCAAAGAUUCAACACAAGAAAUGAAUAUUGAUAUACAAAAAAUAAUGUCCUGUCAAAAUAUGGAACAAGUUAACAAACUAAAGCCUUGGAUCAAGAAUAUAUCAAGCAACUUUUAUUCAGAACUACUGGAAAAUAAAAUAAACAGUUUGAACGAAAAUAACAAACUUUUUCUUUACAAAAUUAUUAAAAUCAAACAAGACC
rnacentral:lncRNA from 1 species